rnacentral:lncRNA from 1 species
AUGGAGCUGACGGACAUUUUGAACACGCUCACACAGCGACAUGCACGCACAUGUAUAACAGUACCUUGCCAAGGCCCCGGAGAUCCACGCUUUCCCAGCGUCACUUAUCAGUCCAGGCAUGAAGGCAGAUCUCUGCAGAUGCAAUCUUCUUCGGGGUUGCAGUGCUGCAAGUGUAAGGCAACCUACAGCUUAGCUACAUUGCUCCAUCACAUGGAAGGUGGCCCAACUGCGUGCGCCGAGGUGGCCCCGCGGCCGCUGGCCCCUCGCCGGCCCCCUGGCCGCGCUCUCUCUCGGCGGGGGCCGCGUCAAGCCGCCGGGGCCGGGCUGUGCUCCCUGCGGGCCCUGGAGGCCCGGCCCGGCGCGAUGUGGCCCACGCUCCGUUCUCCGAAUGGCCCGGCCCGGCCCGGCCCCGCUGGUGGCCAGGCUGUGCUCCUGCCCGCGGCUCUGCUCCCAGCCCGGCCGCUGACUGCGGGCCGCGCCACACACUGCCAACUGCCCGCUCCCCCGGUUAGCAAACAGCUGGUGACAAAUCCUCCUCCGCUUCUUUUGUUUUGUUCUUACUAUUCCCACAACACUGAUGCUACUGAUUGAAUUAACUCAGAAGUAGCCUGGCAAGCCCCCCCAAAAACUUUGCAACAAAGUUACCAGGAACGCUGUGUUUUCCUACAGCGAGAGCAGCGUGAGGCUCCCUCAUGCCCUCUCCCCCUUCCCACACGCUCCAUACAGGUGCCCAGCACACGUACCACUCACAUGUGCAGCACUUUCCAGCUCCUGCCUUACACCAAGCACCAGGUACGAGCACGCAAACAGCCCAGUGCCAGCCAAAAAUCACCCACGCAGCCGGCACCCAGCUCCGAGGUAGCACAGCAAAGGGGACGGCAGGCCCCCUCCCAGCAGCACCUCACUGGGACACCCUCGGGGUCACCUGCCCCCGGCACCCCCCGACGCACACAGCCCUAUCCUGCACGCCCACCCGGCUGCGAGCAUUUUUAAGGGAGCACCGUACGGCAAUACAACUCAAACAGCUCUAAUUUGUAGUGCUACAAACUAUAACAUGCUCAGACGUGUGCUGCCUGACAGACUACGCAGAGCUGGCUCCUGCUCCAGCCCUGAAACAAAAGCAAAAAGCCAGAAACAUUCUGCUAUGUCUCCAAAAUUAAGACACCAACUAAAGCAAGCACACUGCUGGGCUUUUCGCAUACAUAUUGCUUUUAAGAAAAUAAAUCUCUACAAAUUUAUUAUUUACCUUAGACU